rnacentral:lncRNA from 1 species
GGGGGGGACAUUGUAAUAUUCAACACCAUAGUGUAUUGCACAACAGCUAAAAAGUUUUAAAAAAAUAUGUUUUGGGGGAGGGUUUCAAAUCACAACAGCAUAGUGUAAUUUUUUUUAUAUAAAUUCAAAUCAUACAUGUCAUAUAACCAAUUUUACGUGUGAAUAUUGUGUACAUUCUGGCCCUAAAUUUUCAGGUUGGACAUCUGCCAUUAUAUCCAGCUGCGCUUAGCAAAGCAUUUUAUUUUACUAAUUAAUUCACUUCUGUUUUUUUUUUUUUUUUAUUAUUACUCAUUUAUAAUUUUAUUUAUUUAAUUUGAUUGUUAGUAUGG